GUUGUGCCGAAUUAUGCACCCCCCCCGUAAAAUGCACCCCCUGUCGGGAGCGCGCUUACGUCACUCGGUUGCGUCACCCGUCUCGAAAAGUAGCUAAACUCGGCUAAAAUCGCCUCUUUCGGCAUAAAAAUGUACAUAACAAGGUGAAUAAUCCAAGUUGUCUUUACUUUGGAUAUAUUAAUGGAUGGAUUAAUUGUGAUUCUUUAAUGAUUUCGCCGCCAUUGCCUUUAAUGAUUUCGUCGUCAUUCAAUCGCCUCUUUCGGCAGAAAAAUGUACAUAACAAGAGACAUCAAGGAGAACGAAUGUUUGCUGCUUCACUCGACGGGAUCCAAUACAUGUAUUUUAAAAAUAUGACAUUUUCUUUAACUGUAAGAAGCUCAUGGGUGGAUGGAUGAAUACAUUAAUAAAUGAAUGCAUCUGA